rnacentral:lncRNA from 1 species
AAGACGCUACGAGCAUAUCUCACUCCUUUGUUUUUUUUGUUUUUUUUUUUUCUUUUGCAGCACGGAGUCGCUGUAAGAUCUGGUCACCACUGCACGCAGCCACUGCAUCGCCAUUUGGGAAUCAAUGCCAGUGCUCGAGCAAGCCUGUACUUUUACAACACGAAACGAGAGGUGGACGCGUUUAUAGACGCCCUAAAUGACACCAUUGGUUUUUUUUCCUAGCUACAUUAACGUAUGUAGCAGAAGAUGUAGUUAAGUUGUCAGUAAUAAAUCUCAUUUCGUGUACCCUCUCUUCGUUGCAGCUAUGGCGCUGCUGCAGAACCUUGGUAGCUCCCACCUGACGUUGAUCUCCUCCUCGAGGAGGAACUGUUCGCGGCGCCAGUGUCGAGGUACUCCAAUCGUUUUGUUUGUAUUGCCUGGAGUCUCAGCGGCUUGAUUACAGCCGAGACAACAACGGAGCCUCAAACAGAUUGGAGGAAAAGGUCGAAACCCAUCAAGCCUGGAAGCACGUAUCCAGCGAAAGAAUUUUGCAGGUAAAGCUAUCAAUCUUUUCUAAGAGCUCAAUUCACUAAGCUUUUCGCCGUAGUCAUUGCGGCUUGUGUGACUCGUAUUACAUAGCUCAUGUGAAGAAAGCCUGUGCAUUUCUCGGGAAUGGUAUGACUAAAGUCGAGGUGAGCUUUUCUAGUCUUGUUUUGUGUUCCUGUUUUCCUUAUUCUAUCUAUAUUCGCAGGCUAUGGAGCCCGAAGUGCAUGGGAGAGCACGAGAUGUAAAGUCUUUGGACGAGUUAUAUUUUGGAGUUCAUGAAGAGUUACUUUAUGCACGAAAGAUUGAGCCUGUCAAAGGUACAGUGACGAAGGCUCAGGUUUUACGUUUUUCCAAUCGUGCACAUACUUUCAGGAGCCCAAUGGACAGGCAUUGUUACUGCCAUAGCAAUAGAAAUGCUCAAAACAAAGCGCGUGGAAGCUGUUAUAUGUGUUCAGAGGUAGGCUGCUGGUCUUUAUAGGACUUCCUGACAGAGGACUUUCUUCAGUGAUCCAGAAGAUCGUUUCACACCCCGGCCCGUGCUAGCAAGGUAUAUUGUCCACCUAGAUUCUUGGUAUAUCUAUCUGGUUUCUCAGGACUCCUGAAGAAAUACUCGCCGCUCGAGGAGUGAAACCGACCUUGUCACCAAAUCUAAACACGCUGGCGCUCGUGGAGGUAUUGUAUUGUCAAAACUUAUGAUUUGCUUUUUACACUUCGCCUGGUAGGCUGCUGGUGUCAAGAAGCUUCUGUUCUGUGGAGUCGGGUGCCAAGUUCAAGGUAAUUUCAAUCAAGCUAUAGAUCGUUGCUUGAUGUUUUGGGGCAGCUUUGAGGGCGGUGGAGAAGUAUCUUGGUCUUGAAAAGCUCUACGUGCUUGGUACAAAUUGCGGUCAGUAGAUGGUCAGUUUUAUUGCUAGUCCCACACAAUUAUGUGCUAACAAGCAAGAAACCGCAGUGGACAAUGGCCCCAGAGAAGGGCUCGAUAAGUUUCUACGAGCAGCGAGUGACAGUCCUCAAACUGUUCUACACUACGAGUUCAUGCAAGAUUACAAGGUUGUAAACUCGUUUCUAGUUAAUUAGACUGACACGUCUAGCCUCUUAGGUUCACCUGAAACACUUGGAUGGUCGUAUGGAAGAGGUUGGUGUUCUUGUUCAUCUCUCGAGAUUGAUUUCACUAUCAUGAACGUUUUCCAGGUUCCUUACUUUUGUUUACCAGCUAGUGAUCUAACCGAUGUGAUAGCUCCAUCAUGCUACAGGUGCUUAUUUUCAAAUACUUUCAUCAUGCCAAGGAACUAAGAUUUGUCGUUUGUUUUUGUUUUUGUGCAGCUGCUUCGAUUACACCAACGGAUUGGCUGUAAGAAUUGCAAAUUGUUUUCUCAACAUACGUUUUGAUCUGUGGAAUGGUGAUUACAGGAUCUCGUGGUGGGCUAUAUGGGAGUUCCCAAAUAUCCUGGUGUCAGUAUGGUUCAACACCCACAAUAUGUCACCGUUAGGUAGUGAUUUGAACUUAUUUUUACUCGUUUUCUUCUGAGCAAAGUAUUGGACGCUUGCAGAAAUGAGAGGGGUAGAGAAAUGCUGGAUCUAGUCAAGCAUCUCCUUGAAGUUACACCCACUGUUAGCACGGUAUGGAAUGUUUCAUCGCCUCCACACGUUUAUUUCGCAAUUCCUGUCUGGCCAGGGUGACAGGCGUCCAUUUGUAAUGGAGACGGUCAAGGCAGAUGACAAUGCGAAACUAGGCAAGUUUUCUUUCCUUUUCUUUACAUUUUUGUCAUGAAAGAGAACCUUUUAUUUGUUGCUGUCCUUCGUUGCCAGGCUUGCAAAAGAGUGCCCCGGCACCUCGAUUUGUUGGUAAUAUUAUUGCGUUUCUGCUGAAUCUGGUUGGUGUUUGGAGCUCUUUAUUUCUUAUCGUCUUGUCUUAUAAUUGAUGCAUGACAGAUCGGGCCGAAGGGCCUGGAAUUUGGACGAUACUCUCUUGACUACCACACUAUCAGGAAUUACCUCUAUGUACAGCGCGCCAUGGGGAAAUCCAGGUUCGUUUUGCUGUUCAGCAUUGCGGAUAUGACUGUGUUCUUGGCUAACUUUCAGAGCUGAAGCUCACAUUCCGUCUUACUCCAAGGAACUGGUAGAGAAGUACAAUGAAGGUGGCGCCAUCGAUAAACUCUUAAAGCGACAGGUCUAAACUUUCUCUUCUUUGUGUGAGAGAUUUUAUAAAACUUCCGAGUUUGCACUUUCAAAUAGACUUUGAUUUUUUCCAAGUUCAAGAACUUCAGUCUUUUGCGAUUAAUCUUCGAAUUUCGAUGGUUUUAGUUAUAAACUUCAUUCAAAGCUCUGGCUGACUUGCUCGUUGCUCUUCUUUCUUUUUGGUUUGUUUUAUUGUCCUUGCGUUCGCGACUAGGCCGGCCUUGCAGAAAGAAUCCGCCAGCACCUCGAUUCGUUGAGAGAAAUGAUCGCAUUUCUCCUCAAAUCUGGUUGGUGUGUCUUGGAUGCAUGCGCUUUCUUUUUCUUCAAGUGCUCACUUAACGGAUGCCUGUCCUGGCAUGGCAGAACUGGCCCUACUGUGUAGAGCUCUUUGGUCUUGACUACCAACACUCGAUCUAGAGAUUUUGGAAUCGUCUCCAAGGCUGCCAAACCUUCAGUACAAAUCGAAAGUUUCUAAGUAGUAAUAUUUUUUUUUAUAAAUCAGUAGUAUCUCUUUUUAUCCUGGAAACCCUCGCGGUUUCAUCGUAUCUGGCCGCGAAAAGUGUAACAAAAAAAAAGAGGAGCCAUUGACGAAAGGCCUCCAGGAUAAGGACGUUCUCUCUUUCUUUCUUUUUUUUCCAGAGGAGUUCAAAGAUGGAAUACCUUAUGUUUAUUGUCUCGCCAGCUCUCUGUUGGAACUCGGUCUCCAUGUAGACUAGAAAACGACUGGACAAGACCAAGUCCAAAAGAGGGGGUUUGUAGAAUAACAUAGGAAAAUGUAUUCUAGUUGUAAAGUAGAGAAACAGUAAGAUUGUAGAUCCAAUUCCCAGGCGCCUUACGUAACCUCAACCUCAAUCCUUGCCACAAAGCAGAGAAAGUCGAAUGAGUGGAACUAUAUCAGAUAUGUUGGCAAAAAGAAAAGAGCUUUUACACACAGAAAAAUUUUAGACAACGAAAGCUACAAGCGACAAGUUGGCGUCCUCUUCCGAUGCAACAGCUCGCAAUCCCAAUCAAUCAGGGAAGCACCGAUCGAUCCAUACAAGAAAAAAAAAGAAAAACUCAAAAAAGAGAGAGAGAGAGAGAAAAGAAAACAAUGUAGGAUCACCUUCAAGUUUCAACCCUCGGGACCCCACUCGAGCGCCGGCGUGGCAGUGUGACGUGGCGCGCACGUGGAGGGCCAGGUCUGGGACGUGGCAUGGCAGGUCAGCCUUUUCAGUGGAGACGGGACGGGGUUUAGAAGAUAUCGCGCGAGGGUUUUAUUUCUUUGUGGUUUUGGAUUUUGCGACCAAUGUGGACAGACGGCAACAAGCAAGAAGAAGACACGCAAGCGAGCGCCAUUAACUAGUCUCUGGAAAGCUUGUGUAGCGAUCGGAGCAGUAGCAUCGAGCGCGCGCGCGCGACGAGCGCUUGAUUUACUAGCGGCCGCUGGCGAGAUUUCUCCUCCUCCUCCUCCUCUUACUCGCAUUUCUUUCUUUUGUUCUUUCUUCCUGGUGUAGAAUCUAGAUCUCUCUCGCAUUCUCUCGUUCCAGAUCCGCUCCAGCUCUUGACUCGCAGCGAAAUCUUCCCCCCUCCCAUCAAUGCUGCGCUGAAAUAUCGCGCAAGAUCGACCGAUUCGUC